rnacentral:rRNA from 1 species
AUGGCACCGACUCUGAAGCUCAGGUUCCUCGCCGUGGCCGCCACCGCCACCGUCGUGGCAUCGUUGCUGGUCGGCAUGGCCUCCGCGGUUGACGGACCAGCCCCCGCACCAGCUUCCGGCGCGUCGACCUCCGGCGCGCCGGCUGCCGCCCCAGUUGUUGCCAUGGCGUCGCUGAUCAUGCUUGUCUUCGGCUACUUCUUCCGAGGCCAUGGACGAAUGUGUCGCGUACGCAAUUAUUUGCUUCAGUACAAGCCUCCUAAACACAUCAGCGAAGCCGAUCUUUUCAUACCCCUUCGUAAUAAAGGAUAG